AUAAUUUGAACUGCUCGCGCUUUGACCACGGAUGUACUGGCACUGCGUGAAGUUAGUUUUUUAGAAGGCCGGACUUAUGUCCGGCCUUUUCCGUU
rnacentral:sRNA from 1 species